UCCUCAUUACUUCCUCUUAAGUCAAUAUUUUGUUCUGUUUUCUUCUUUUUGUCUCAGUUCUUGUUUUUUGUCUGAGUCUUUUAUUGGAGUUUAGUGUUUGUUUAAUUUUUCUUAGGAUUUUUCUUGUACAGCAUGCAUGCUAGUCUUGCCUGUCCAUGUUGUUCCUCCAUGAUCUGUGUUGUCUUUUGGUUGAUUUUACUUUUUGUGCUAGACGAGGCGAAGACAAAGCAAUGACAAUUUAUACAGGAAUAUUUGGCAGGAAGUGUGGCAAUUCCUGAAUUGCCUUUGUCUUGUACAGAGCAAGUUGUGCUACAAGUUGAUUCCAUCACCAAUCUCCACUUCGUCUUUCCUCCUUCCUCAGCAAUCACAUCACAGGUUUCAAUGAAACAGCCAGCAGGGAGGGAGGGAGGGAGAGAAUGUCACAAGGGAGGAGGCUCAUCUGGUUGAAGCUGAAGGCUUUGUGCUUAAUCUCCAUUCAUGUAUGUCUAUCUGCUAUUUUGUUUUCUCUUAGUCUUAUAUUAUAAUUGCCUACUUUUAUCUUUAUCCCAUAUUCUAAAUGAAAGGUUGAGGAUCUUGUCGUUGUCUAGAAUUUAUUGCUUUAUAAUAUUCUUUGUCCUCUUUCCCUAAUAUACAGAUCAUCACAAUCUUAAGAAACUGUUAUUUUGUUAAUUUUCCUUUUAAAUCUGUUGUUCAGCCAUUGAGACAUUUUGUCAAACAACUCAUAUGUCUGUCACUUGUCAUGGUCUAUGUGCUGCUCAUCGUUAAUGGGUACAAAUAAAAGAUUGGGCGUAGCUUCUUCAAAUGCUACGCCCUCUUUCUAGCUGGCUAAUUCUCUCGGGAUGAUUGCAAUUGCAACAUUAAAAAGAAUUUGUCAAACCAGAAGAAGCAUUUAGGUUAGGUAUUCUAAUCGCGGUUUAAUGUCUACAGUCUUCAAUGAUCUCUGAAUUUGCAUUACAAAUGGAGGCUUACUGUGUCUCUGUGUGUGAAUGAUUCCUAACUUGAAAAUUAUUUUAGAGAUUUUUACUUUCCUGUGAUUGAGUAAUUGUUGAUUAUAUAUGCAAGCAGCAAUAUAAUCAUAGAAUUACUGUAAAUGACAUUUAAACUGCGUAAAUCUUGCGUAAUUGUAUUUAACCUAUUCAAUCUCGUAUAUGCUAUUGGACUUCAUGAGGACUUAGAAACGUUGUAUACCAUAAUUGUGUUGGUUUUAACUUCUUUUCGUUACUUCUUUUGUAUUUUUCUAUUCGUUGGCAUUGUCUGUGUAUAUGGGGAGGUGUACCUCAUAGAAAUUUGUAUACCAUAUCUUUGUUGGUCACAUCCUCUUAGUUUUGUCUUAUUUUCGUAACUGCCUGUGUGUAUUUUUCUGUUCCUUGGCAUUUUCUGUGUAUAUACCAUAUGGGUAGGUGGUUUUGAUGAAGAUCUAAUCAAAUUUUGAGGAAGUUUCUACCUUUCUAAUGAAAUGGAGGCAUUGGCUGCUCUUGCAAGUGGGACUAAUUUAUUUCACGUUGCCUUGGUUUAGUAAUGUCAAACACGAGAUUUCUGAACACAACAAUUAAGUGCUUAGCACUUGGAGCAGCAUAAUUUCUAGAGAAGCCGAUAUCAGAGGAUAAGCUAAAAGAAUAUUUGGCAACAUGUGGUUCACUUCAACUUCACAAGUUUGGAGCAGCAGAGUUUCUACAGAAGCCAAUAUCAGAGGAUAAGCUAAAAUAUUUUCUCCAGUUUUAUUUUCUGUAUGUGUACUUUGCAAAAAUUUAAGAAAUUUGAUAGUAUCCUUUCCAACUACUAUACAGGCAACUGUUUAUCAAUCACAAAAUCUAUGAAGCUUAUAAAGGAAAGUUGUUUUUAUAAGGAGAUCUAUGCAAGAAUUAUGUUCUUUCCAAGUUUCUGAAAUAUUUUCCACAGUUUUAUUUUCUGUAUGUGUACUUUGCACAAUUUAAAAAAUUUGAUAGUAUCCUUCUCAACUACUAUAAGGGCAACUGUUUAUCAACACAAAAUCUAUGAAGCUUAUAAAGGAAAGUUGUUUUUAUGCAAGAAUUCUGUUCUUUCCAAGUUUCUGAAACCAGUUAAAACAACUAUUGUAUCGAUGCUUCAUUUGGGGCAUGGAGUGGCUCAAUUUAAGAGUGAAAAACUUGUAGGCAGAAACUCUAAUCAGAGGAUAGAUGAGGCCAGCGCUUCAUAUGAGACUUCCCACAAGCCUUGUAACACAAGAAACAAUUAUUGAACCAUGUAACAAUGACAGAAUCCAAGCUCCCUCAGCUCCUCAGCUGGAACAAGAUAGCAGAUCUACUUCGGAUGAGGAUCUUCAGGACAAAUGUCAAUAGAACAAGUGAAACUAAAUGUUGCAGCCAUCACAGAGUGGCCAUGGCCUCGGAUGCCCAUGUCUACAGAGUGACUCCAAGAGUGCACAGUGAUGCAUGGAGAAUGGGAAUACCUCAAUUUCAAUUGUUAUUGCAGUCAAUCCAGAGCUGUGAUGCAUGGAUAAAUGUAAAUACAAAAUUUAAGAAAAAUGUUUCAAAUAUUGAAUGGGUUACUAAAUGUAAUAUAAAAUAAAAUGUUGCAUUUUUAAUCAAUGAGACAAUGUCUAUCCAAUAAAAUUGAUAUGUAAAAUGAUUUAUUAUUAAUACCAUUAUUUGUAUUUGGGAGGGGUUGAAUUUGCCCCCUUCCUAAGGCUGGAAGAAUGGUCAUUAGUCAUGGCCAUUCUUUUAGGU